ACGGAGGGAGCUAGCGUUGUUCGGAAUUACUGGGCGUAAAGAGCGCGUAGGCGGCUAACUAAGUUGGGAGUGAAAUCCCAGGGCUUAACCCUGGAAUUGCUUUCAAAACUGGCUAGCUAGAGAACGAUAGAGGAUGGUGGAAUUCCUAGUGUAGAGGUGAAAUUCUUAGAUAUUAGGAGGAACAUCGGAGGCGAAGGCGACCAUCUGGGUCGUAUCUGACGCUGAGGUGCGAAAGCGUGGGGAGCAAACAGG
rnacentral:rRNA from 1 species